GACGAACGCUGGCGGCGUGCUCAACACAUGCAAGUCGUACGGUAAGGCCCUUUCGGGGGUACACGAGUGGCGAACGGGUGAGUAACACGUGAGUAACCUGCCCACAACUUUGGGAUAACGCUAGGAAACUGGUGCUAAUACUGGAUAUGUGCUCCUGCUGCAUGGUGGGGGUUGGAAAGCUCCGGCGGUUGUGGAUGGACUCGCGGCCUAUCAGCUUGUUGGUGGGGUAGUGGCCUACCAAGGCGGCGACGGGUAGCCGGCCUGAGAGGGUGACCGGCCACAUUGGGACUGAGAUACGGCCCAGACUCCUACGGGAGGCAGCAGUGGGGAAUAUUGCACAAUGGGCGCAAGCCUGAUGCAGCAACGCCGCGUGCGGGAUGACGGCCUUCGGGUUGUAAACCGCUUUCAGCAGGGACGAAGCUUUUUGUGACGGUACCUGCAGAAGAAGCACCGGCUAACUACGUG
rnacentral:rRNA from 1 species